rnacentral:rRNA from 1 species
AUUGAACGCUGGCGGCAUGCUUUACACAUGCAAGUCGAGCGGCAGCGCGGGGGGUAACUCCUGGCGGCGAGCGGCGGACGGGUGAGUAAUGCAUCGGAACGUAUCCCGUAGUGGGGGACAACCCAGCGAAAGCUGGGCUAAUACCGCAUAUGCUCUACGGAGGAAAGCAGGGGACUCGCAAGAGCCUUGUGCUAUGGGAGCGGCCGAUGUCCGAUUAGCUAGUUGGUGGGGUAAAGGCUUACCAAGGCGACGAUCGGUAGCUGGUCUGAGAGGAUGAUCAGCCACACUGGGACUGAGACACGGCCCAGACUCCUACGGGAGGCAGCAGUGGGAAUUUUGGACAAUGGGGCAACCCUGAUCCAGCCAUGCCGCGUGCGGGAAGAAGGCC